GUACACGCUGUGACUAGCAUAUCAAUAAGCGGAGGAAAAGAAACUAACAAGGAUUCCCCUAGUAACGGCGAGUGAAGCGGGAAGAGCUCAAAUUUGAAAUCUUAAAGGGUUUCCCUUUACGAAUUGUAGUUUAAAGAGGUGUUUUCUGUUGAGGUUUUGGUAAAAGUUCUUUGGAAUAGGACAUCAUAGAGGGUGAGAAUCCCGUAUUUGACCCUUACUUUCAACUUUGUGAUACACUUUCAAAGAGUCGGAUUGUUUGGGAAUGCAGUCCAAAAUGGGUGGUAAAUUUCAUCUAAAGCUAAAUAUUGGCGAGAGACCGAUAGCGAACAAGUACCGUGAGGGAAAGAUGAAAAGAACUUUGAAAAGAGAGUUAAACAGUACGUGAAAUUGUCAAAAGGGAAGCGUUUGGACACCAGUGUUGUUUUUCUGAAAAUCAAUUAAAGAACUGUUUAUGCUGAGUUGUUUAGACUUUAUCAGCUAACUGUUUAGUUUUGAGCUUUUUCUUUAAUGCACUUUUCAGUUAACAAGUCAACAUCAAUUUCUUUUGCUGUAAAAAAGCUUGAGGAAGGUGGCUUGAGAUUCGUCUUAAGUGUUUAUAGCCUCUUGCCUAUGCAGUCGGAGAGAUUGAGGUCUGCAGCGUAGAUCCUUCGGGGCUAAAUGCAUUUGUGCUAAGUUAUAGCAUUUCAUAGACAACUUGUUGACUAUGAUUUGUCUUGUAGCUUACUCGCUUAUGUUAUUUUACCUACGCUUAGGAUGUUGACAGCAGUAUAGACUGU
rnacentral:rRNA from 1 species